rnacentral:lncRNA from 1 species
AUACUUUUAAAAAAAAAACUAAAUUGUUUUAAAAUAUGAUAUUGUUUUUUUUUUUUGAACUAAUUUUUUUUUUUUUUGAACUAAUAUGAUAGUGUUUAACAUAACUCAAAUUCCGUCCAAAAACAUUCGACCAAAAGAUUUGUAUGUUUUAUUGAACAAAAGAUUUGCUUGUAUGUUUUUAUGAUAAUAAAAGAAAACGAGCGAUGGAUGUGUGUAUAUAAGCAAGGGACCUAUCACACCAAAUCAUUGUGUCUC